rnacentral:lncRNA from 1 species
CCACAAACACAAACCGCAACUUCCUUUCUUCUCUGCACAAGUAAACCACAAACCGCUUCCUCUCUUGAUACCGAGACACCACCAUCACCAAGUCUCAUUUCCUUCUCUGCACACUCCACCGAAACCACUGCAAUUUCUCUCCACAACCACACCAUACCUCUUCCUCUGCCUUGACCGAGAGCAUCCGAGAGAGAGGGCUGCUUGGUGAGCUGCAUCCGAGAGCUAGGAGGAGGGAACGUGAGCUGCCAGAAAUUUUCUGGUCCUGCCGUGAGUUGGAGUAAAGCCAGGGAGGAGAUUUGCAGGAAGCUUCACCAUUUUGUACCUUCAUCCCCACCAACUCCAACCAACCGACCUCAAAUCCACCAGCCACAACCAAUUCCAGCCGCAACUUAGGAGCCAGGAACCACCGACUGCACUUGGCCGAGAGCUAGGGAAGAAAUUUCUGGAAUAUUUCGUGUGAAGGAUUAGCUGCUAUCUGAGGUAAUUUCUGGUCUAAUUAGGUUGAUUAUUAGUUGAGCAAGCUACAUCUGAACUUGCAUGUUCAGAUUAUGCAGUCGGAUGUUGAAAUCCAACCAUUGGAAAAAAAUUCUGUUUUGUUAAAAUGUUGCUACCGAGACUUUGAGGAGAUAAUGCAACUCCAUUUGUGUUUUUCUGUGGCAUCUGAACACCUAAGUGCCUUUAGCUGAGUGAAGACUUGAAGAUUUAGACCAUGCAUGUUGAAUUGUGCAUUCGGAUGAUGUGUUAAAGCAGAGAAAAUUUCUGGUUUGGUUAAGAAAAUUUCUGCCGAGGAGCUGGCUUGGGAUUGUAAUUUUAUUUCUGACUUCCUGCGAUAAUCUGAGCUCAAUUAGGUGUUUAACCAACUAAUAACAAUAAGGUUAAGUCAUCUAAGAACUUGCAUGUGGGGGCUAGGCAUCCGGAUGAGAUUUUUUAAGAAAAGAAUUUCUGAUAUGUGCUAGUAUAAAAACUACCGAGAGCUUAGCUGGAUUAUUGCAGCCUAAUUUGGUUCGAUUUUGUUGUGUUGUUUAAGCUUAUAACCAUAAUUAGAUAGUUAAUUACCAGUUAAUUAAGCUCUGCAUGCAGCUAAUUAGUAGUUUAAACCAGAGAAAAAAAAAUAAAGAUAAAAUCAAGGGCAAUCUGCCAUGCAUGUUCAUCCGAACCAAGCAGGAGAAUUUUAGAAAAUUUCGAUGUUAAAGGUUGCGUUGGAAUCUUAACUUGAUUUUUAAAUUGUUCCUUGAAACUUGAUGGAUGGAAAUGCCUGGAAAAUGUUGUUUUGGAUUCUAUAAGAAGUGUAUGGAUGGUUUGAAUAAAAACAUUUUGGUGUUAAAGGAGAAAAAGGAGUUUUCACAAGUGAAAAAUUGAAAUUUCAGAUUUUCGGAUGUCCCUGACCAGUCCCAAUAAACUGUUUAUAUCUUGGUGUAGGAAAAUCCGUUUAAGGCGCCGUUAGUGGCAUUUGAAACUAGAAUCAUAGGCCUUUGUCCUGUAGAAAUUUCGUAUUUUUCCUUCAAAUGUACUGCUGUCUGUGAAUCCUUGAAGUAGACUGUUUUAGUAGGAAUGUCCUGUUCUUCGUGAAACUAAAUUUUGAUUUGGUUUGAUCUUGUAGCUUACUUGUGGGUUAAAUUCUGGAUUAAAUUGUGGUUGGAAGUAAUUGCUGUUGUCAAGGGCUAAUGAUUGAUGAAGCCCUUGGCCAUUUGAAUGACUUUAUAAGUACUACUGGGUGAUAAAAGUUAAUUGCUGGAAUGUCUGGGAGGCCGUACUUUUAUUUUUAUUUGCUUAUGAUGGGUUUGCUGAAACCAAGUGCUAAUGAUUGAUGAAGCCUUGGUCGUUCAUUUUAUUUUUAUCAAUAAUGCAUUUGUUGAAAUCUGGGGCUAAUGAUUGAUGAAGCCCUAGUGAUUUGCUAUGUGAUUUUUGCCAUAUCUGAUCCAUAAUAUGAUUUCAAAACGGAAUCGGAGCUGUGAAAGUCGUUUCUAUCUUGCGAACUCGAGUAACUGUGAUCAUAUUAAUCAAAAAUAUUUUCCAGCUAGUAUUAAAUUAUAAAAACUCAAUAUCUAGUGUUUUGCCUAAAACUUUCCAACCCGAUAAUUUCCUUUAGCUCAAACUAGCCUUAUUACCUUUGGAAAAUGGUUUUUCUAGUUUCUAAAACUCUAGCCUUGCUUUACUCCUUUUCUUCUCCCUAAGAAUUGGCCUUGGCUAGUUAACUAUAGGAAAAAAGUGCCAAAAUACGAGUUUUAAUAAUUUUAGUUAAAAGCAUAGAAACUUGCUCGGCAAGAAACCUUAUUUUUUUAGGUAAAAUAGUUUUAGUAAUAAUUUUUGCAAAAACCAUAGCUUUAAAGAAAUGUUCAAAGUAACUUCCUAACGUGGAUUUUAAGAGGUUUGUCGACUUAUCUCAAGAAAAUAAUACUAGUUACCCUUUUAUAAGGAAAAGUACCUUAAGGAAAAUUAUAAGAAACAUUUCUUCUACUUUUGUCAAGUUUUAACCUAAGGGACUCUUGAUUCUUCUAAGGAAAAGUAGAUUAGUAGUAUAUUAGAUAUACCUCGAUGUGUAUAAGCUAAAAACUGAAUAGAAACUUAUAGUUUCAAAAUUUUGUAUUCUAGGAUAUUACGAGGACGCGGAAUUCGAUUCCCAACUUGAUAUCUGAACUCCACUCUUGGUGAGUGUCCCUGUUUGUUCUAUGCUUACCUGUUUAAAGUGCAUUCUUGUCUCGAUAUGUGAUAAUUUGCAAAAUUGGUUUUUGACCCAUCGAAGUGAGCUGUGUGUACCUUCUCGUACUAGCCAUUCGAGUGGUGACUUGUGCAAAACAUUUUUCUCCUAAAUCCUUGAAUCCAAAUGGAGUUGCGUCGUUGGGUGAACCCCUCGACUUCUGAACCCAACUACCAUGAAUCUAAAUGGAGUUGCGUCGUUGGGUGAAUCUCUCGACUUCUGAAUCCAACUACCAUGAAUCUAAAUGGAGUUGCGUCGUUGGGUGAAUCCCUCGACUUCUGAAUCCAACUACCAUAACGUCGUUGGGUGAAUCCCUCGACCAAUCAUCUACGGGUAUAUCUCGAGUAUACUGCGUCCUUAGUCGGUGAGCGGGCCCGGGACAGGGGUAUGAAUGGUGACGGGUUAGGUAUCAAAAUGAGACACUCUACAUAGAUUAUAAGUAGUGAGAGUUGACGGAGGGUCAACUACGAUAAAUGGUGAUCGAGCGAGGAAAAUGGCUCCUGAGAGCCCAUGUAUCCUACCUUGUGCUGUUAUCCGCUUUCCUGGCUGUUUAAAUUUGCUAAGUUAUUAUCCGCUGUUUGUUACUACGUGAUUGCAUGUUUUGGGGCACCACUGAGCUUUAGCUCACCCCACGUUUAUUGUUUUCCUUAACAGGUUCUGGAAAUUGAAAGCUUGGAUACUCACUUAUGUUUUUCCGUUUGGAAUGUAUUUGAAAACUAUGACUUAUUUUGUGGGCUGUAAUGCGUUGAUUGGGAUAAUGUACUUUCAUUUUGGAUUGCCACUUGAAGCUGGAAAAUGUGUAACCCUAAUUCAAGUGUUUGGAUUGUAAGUUUGUAUUAGUGAUGUAUGUAGUUAUCUAUCCGGAUUGGUACGACUUUAUACCUUGACAUGUAGCACGUGGAACGUUUAAGAGUUUUGAUUAGCUAUUUUAUCACUGGUAUCUCUGAAGUUAAUGUGAUUUAAGGGAUGAUCGUAUUCGGGAAA